UGUCAACUCUCUAAUUCUAUUUGACACUUAGUGAUAAAUAUGUCAUAGCUUCUCAUAAACAGAUGCCCAAAGUAAACACUGAAAAAUAGCAAGAAUUUCUUUGCUAACUUCUGUUGUAGAAUAUCCUGAGGCAUUACUUGUAGUUAAAGCAUAUACCUCUUCAAGCUGUCUGUAUCUCUAGAAAUGGACUUUGAGGUUCUCUAAAAUAUUGAGAGAGCAUACUGUAAUGACCCUGAAUUUUAACUUAGAGGAUUGUCUUGUUGAUGUCAUACAUUUUCCCCCCUUUAACCAAGACAGCAGCCUCACCCUUCUCUCCACUUUCUAUUCUGUCCAUCACUGUAAACGCACAGUGGACGUAAGUGCUAAAAAAUAUAUUUCCUCUCCUGCUUUGCAUUGUUUACUGUGGUUUGCGCUAAUGUUCGGUGAAUAUAUCACUUUGAGCUUGUUCUGAAGCUUCAUAACCUGUGACUUUACCAUCCCCUCCCAUCAAAAUUUCACAAAUGAAACUCUUGCUUGAAUAUAUAUAAUGAAAAAAGAGUCCAGUCACAUCACAGUUCCAGAUCCAGUGUAUGCACGAGCCAGUCCUUCAAAUCCUUUGAAUAGUUUAGCUUUUACAAUACCCAAACUUAUUGCAUUUUUCAAUAACUGGGGACUUUGUAAAACUCUGUGUCAUUUGUAUGUAACAUGUGCCCGUGCUGAGCAAGAUAUGCUACUUUCAAGUUUGUAGAUGGAAAAUUGGGUGCUUUUUGAAUCAGAAAUCACCAAAACAUUUCAAUAAUUUACAAGGUAGAAGGAAAUUUUAUGUGCUGACAACCAUAGCCAGUUCUUUAAAUUGUUCUGUUUGCAUAAUUCAGAGUCCAGCACUGCUGUGAAAUAGAAUUGCUGGAAAAGAAUCCCAAAUGUUGGCAAUGUAAAUGAAUACACUAACUACCCAUCUUGGCUGCUAGAAUUCCCAAAGUCAUUACUACUGCACCACUUGAAAAAUCAGAGGAUGGUCCUUCCAAACUAGGUUUCUGUCCAUGGACACACAUUUCUCAGCAUGGAAGAGAAAGCUGGCUUUGAGUAGAUAAAUGAGGCAUGCAGUCCAGCCAGAUUUCUGCAGUAAUCUUUCCAAGUGAGGAUGGUAUAAGGUCUCAUCCUGUGCAUGCACUAGACAAGCUAAUAGACAUGCUGAGACAAUUAACUAAAUAUGGGUGCAUGAUUUAUAGAAGCUGUUUUUGCGAUAGAGCCAAUGCUGAUUUUUUUUAAAGGAUUAUGUAGCACUAUUGAAGUGUUUCCCCUGCUCCUGCUUGUUUAGUUCUCCAUAUGAAAUAUGUCCAGGCAGCUCUCUGAGAUGGUGUGGGGGGGGAUCAUUAGAACAGAUAAAAGAACAUCUGAUAGAAGUAUGCUUGACAGGAGAGUUGUCCAAGAAUGUUACACGUUCUGGAGUAGACAUAAGGGAGAAUUGUAAAUUGCCUUUAAAUGAAAGGAAGUAGCAGCUGGGAGAUAAGACCCAAGAUAGUAAAGAUGUUUAUCAAAGCUACCAGAAAGGGAGCUAUGGCUUUUCUGGACCAUAUUAUCUGUAGUUUAUCAAUGGUAUUUUAUCACUAGGAGCCCACAGGGGGAGUGUUUGUGUUGCUAGCAUGGAAAGGGCUUUUUCUGCCACUUCUGGCCAUGAAAGAUUAAUGUCAGUCUAGUCACUUCUCUAGUAUUUAAAUAGAUAUUCAGUUCUGGCCUCUUAUUCAUCUCUUUCUGCACAAUACAGUUUCCUGUCAUUUAUGACUUCCUGAUUUGGUGCACCGAGCUGUUAGCUGAGGCCAUUACUCACAUUGCCUCUGAAAGUGAAAGGCAAAGCAGGUCUUGGGUAUAGCAAAGCAGUACCAGGAGUGCUGAGAGGAAGGUCUCCAACACACAGAAGGGACAAUCGUACACAGGCUCAUAUGAGGGGCUGGCGAAACACCACCAUGCCCACAGGGAAACCUAAUUCUGCCUUGCUCAUGUACGGUUGUGCGUGCAAUAACUUUUCAGUCCAUAUGUUACAGAAUGCUGCAAUUACCUUUACAGAAAGGUAUAUACGAAGGCAUGCUGUAAUGCUGCUAAAGACAAACUGACAUAUAACCUGAUUCCUUUUAUCCAAGGCAGGAAAAAAAUCCAGCUCGCUUUAUGACUGAAGGGAUGCUGUGAUCCUGAAGAUUUAUUUGAAGUAUUUUUGGAGGAUGGCAAUGAGACUGAGGGUUAUUGUAGAAAGCUAGAGGUAUCUGAAUGUAGUCCAUCCCUUAUUCAUUAUCUUGACCAAUGACAGAGCUCCAGUGAGUCUCACUACUUCUAAGGCAAAAGAUUUGGGAUAUUAAAAUGAGAUUAUGAGAGAUGCACAACUUCUAGUCAUGCUGGCAUUAUUUUGAAAGUGUUUUAUUCUCCUGGUAGGUAAUUUGAAGGGGGUGCAGCAAUGUUCCACUUGACAAACUGCUGAUCGAAUCCCCCUCCCCAGGCUACUGCCAUCCUGUGCUGCAGUGCAAUGCUUGACAAAAAGAUGCAGCUGUACCAUGCAACCUAUAGGACCUGAAAAAGUGUCAGCCCUUAUAAACACCCUCACACUACCAAAUUGGCCAAGAUGAGUCUCAAUCUCUGGUAUUUUUACUUUCUAGAUUGUGUCAAUUAAGUGAAUGGCAAGCAAACAAAUAUCUGAUAGUCAAAGCCAUUCUCUUAAACUUAUUAUUUCUCACUGACCAUGCAGGGAUGCCUAUUUUAGAUCAAACAGAGCUAAAAGAUAAGCUUCAGGCUUGACUGUUUUCUUUCUCUCUCACAUCCAUUUUCCACUGUUGUAGUUCCACUAACUUCAGAGGAUUACACUGAUACAUGGGGGAAAAAUCAGGGCCUCAGUGUUCAAUAGCAAUUCUCACAGAGUUAUUUUAAGAGUCUGCAGUAGGAUACAUCAAACUGUACAUGCCAGAUAGCAGAUGAUACUUUGUGUUUUGCAAAUGAAUUUGCUUAUCCUGUUACCUUCCUACAAGAUUACUUUUGUGACAUGUAGUUGGGCACCCAUGCAGAAAGUUAUCACAUUGGAGUAGAAUUGACCUACAUAACCGAAGUACAAAUACUAGUGGUUGUAAUCUUUGUGUCUUGUCAAGAGAAUCUGUCUCUGGUUGCUAUAAUUUUGUAGUCCACUAUAAUGGUAGCAAAGUUUCUGUAUGACAGCCAGGGAAAUGCACAUAUUCCUUGCUUAUACAGAAACACCCUUGGGCAAACAAAAUUACAUAUUGUAUUUGCUAGAAAUGGUUUGAUUCUUACUGGCAAGAUUAUACAAAAUUAGGCAGUUUUGCAGUUAUAUUUUGAAUUUUCUGUGUAAACUGCAACAAUUGAGAAGUAGGUGGGAGAUUACCUUAUAUCUAUUGCAUAAGACAGAGGAAUCACAAAAAAACUUCCUAAGGCAAGUACUCCUCCAUCAAGACAAAGGCAUUAAUGUGCUAUACUAGAAAUUUGAAUUAAACUGUGCAUGUUUAUCAAUUCACAUUGACUGUUUUUGUAGAGUGGAGCUGCUCACCUGUGGAGUGCCUGCCAGAUAGAUUUCAACCAACGAGCUCUUUCAAGUGGGUGAUUCUACUUUAGAGCCUAUAAGAAUAUUUCUAGACCACUUUUUAUGGAACAUCUGGGUAUCUUUGUUCCACUAUUUCUUCUAAUUAAACUAUAAGUACCAAAAGGUCUUUUACAAGCAGGAUUUAUUGUAAUGUAAUUUGGUCUUACAAAGAUAUCAUUUGCCUUUCCAAAUGGCUUUCAAGUUACAACUCAUUUAUGUAGCUAACUUUUUCAUAACUGCAGGUCCAAAAUAGUUGCCUAGAAAAAAGCGUGGAAGCAACAAUGAAGAAAUACUGCAGUUUCACAGUGUAUCUUGAAGAUGUAGAUCAGGAGAAAAAUAAAAAAGAAACAAAGAUCCAGAGCAUACAGGAGGCAUUUCAGAAGUUCAGAAGAAAACGCCAGAUGGUCUCCUUCAUCUACAAUGCAAUUUCAGUAAGGAAAUUUAUUUCUGAUUGAGAGCGAGAGUCAUAAAUAGAAACCUAUUAUCUGCA